CUGGGCCAGAAACUCCCCUGGGGGUCGCUGCCCAAAUAGUGGAGACCCCCCCCGCCGGAGUCACUGCGGCAGCUGGGGGGCGGGACACCGGACAUUGCCCCAGGGGGCUGUCUGAGGUCAUUUCCCCUCCCCCAGAUACCUUAAUGGGCCCCAUCACCAUCAUACCUGGGAGCAGCCAUCUCCUGACCUGGCUUGUCAGCUCUGAAACCCUCUAAGUCCCUCUCACAAUGUACCAUCCUUUUUCUUGUUCAUCCCAAGUCAUGGAGCCAGUACCUGGAGCAUAAGGAGUAGCCCCUUUCACAAGGGCAACUCGGGGUCAAACAUGGAGUCUGGAGGAGAGUUGGUACACUAUGGCUCAGAGCAAGAGGACUUCAUCCGCUCUCAUGGCCUUCCAUCCUUUUGAGUUACCUGGAUUAUGCCAAGUGCAUCCCCAACAACCAUAUCUACAUUUUGUCUAUUUUAAUUAAAAUAACUUCAAUAAAAAUGUUAAAUAGCCAAUGAGAGUGUAGAAGGUAACUUGUGUAAGUAUGAUUUUAAACAUUAAGAAGGAAG